rnacentral:rRNA from 1 species
AGUGAACGCUGGCGGUAGGCCUAACACAUGCAAGUCGAACGGCAGCACAGUAAGAGCUUGCUCUUACGGGUGGCGAGUGGCGGACGGGUGAGGAAUACAUCGGAAUCUACUUUUUCGUGGGGGAUAACGUAGGGAAACUUACGCUAAUACCGCAUACGACCUACGGGUGAAAGCAGGGGAUCUUCGGACCUUGCGCGAUUGAAUGAGCCUAUGUCGGAUUAGCUAGUUGGCGGGGUAAAGGCCCACCAAGGCGACGAUCCGUAGCUGGUCUGAGAGGAUGAUCAGCCACACUGGAACUGAGAAACGGUACAGACUCCUACGGGAGGCAGCAGUGGGGAAUAUUGGACGAUGGGCGCAAGCCUGAUCCAGCCAUACCGCGUGGGUGAAGAAGGCCUUCGGGUUGUAAAGCCCUUUUGUUGGGAAAGAAAAGCAGCAGGUUAAUACCCCGCUGUUCUGACGGUACCCAAAGAAUAAGCACCGGCUAACUUCGUG